rnacentral:rRNA from 1 species
CCAAUAGCGUAUAUUAAAGUUGUUGCAGUUAAAAAGCUCGUAGUUGGAUUUCGGGACUAAUAUGUCGGUCGUACUUUGUACGUACUAGCAUUAUUGGUUUCUCCCUUCUGACGAACCACGAUGUCAUUAAUUUGGUGUCGCGGGAAAUCAGGACUGUUACUUUGAAAAAGUUAGAGUGUUUAAAGCAAGCUCGCGCUUGA